ensembl:lncRNA
CAAACCCAUAACCCUAAUGUUGUCAGCACCGUACUCCACGUGGGAAUCAAACCCAUAACCCUAAUGUUGUCAGCACCGUGCUCCAACCAACUGAGCCACCUCAGAACUGUCACACCGUGAGCAUGAUGAAGAUAUCACAGUGAGUCUUUUUUCUAACAGCUCUCCUGCAGCUCUCCUGUACCCCGACCUCUUGUCGCUACGGAAACAGUGCGCUGCCCUCACAAUGCUCACUCGCUCUGGGGAGAGACGCAGAGGAGAGGAGACGAAGGAGGAGGGAAGCUCCGAGCUGGACAGAGGGAUGAAGAGGGACUGGCAUGCAAGAGAUCCCAGGACAGUCAGCAGCAGCCCCUCCAUCUGAAGCAUCAGGAGGGAGAGAACAAGCCUGCAUACAGCACCACACCCACCUUCAGGCUCGACCACUCUUCUCAGAGAGGAAGGAAAAGGACCUGCUUUCAUUCUGAACCAUUCACUUGGACUUAGUAUCACAGACAAGCCUUUCCAUUCUUCAGACCAAAGCAACUGUAGAAGUAACGGAAGACGACAACUGUCUAC